UAUCAAUAAGCGGAGGAAAAGAAACCAACAGGGAUUGCCUUAGUAGCGGCGAGUGAAGCGGCAAUAGCUCAAAUUUGAAAUCUGGCGUCUUCGGCGUCCGAAUUGUAAUUUGAAGAAGGUAUCUUUGAGGCUGGCUCUUGUCUAUGUUCCUUGGAACAGGACGUCACAGAGGGUGAGAAUCCCGUGCGAUGAGAAGUCCAGUUUCGUGUAAAGUUCCUUCGACGAGUCGAGUUGUUUGGGAAUGCAGCUCUAAGUGGGUGGUAAAUUCCAUCUAAAGCUAAAUAUUUGCGAGAGACCGAUAGCGAACAAGUACUGUGAAGGAAAGAUGAAAAGAACUUUGAAAAGAGAGUGAAAAAGUACGUGAAAUUGUUGAAAGGGAAGGGCUUGAGGUCAGACUUGGUUUACCAGGCCAGCAUCAGUUUGGGUGGCAGGAUAAUAGCUAAGGAAAGUGGCACAAUUUCGGUUGUGUGUUAUAGCCUUGGUUG
rnacentral:rRNA from 1 species